rnacentral:rRNA from 1 species
AUUGAACGCUGGCGGCAGGCCUAACACAUGCAAGUCGAGCGGAGCGGCGGACGGGUGAGUAAUGCCUAGGAAUCUGCCUGGUAGUGGGGUAUAACGCCCGGAAACGGGCGCUAAUACCGCAUACUAUCAGAUGAGCCUAGGUCGGAUUAGCUAGUUGGUGGGGGAAAGGCUCACCAAGGCGACGAUCCCUAGCUGGUCCGAGAGGAUGAUCAGCCACAUUGGGACUGAGACACGGCCCAGACUCCUACGGGAGGCAGCAGUGGGGAAUAUUGGACAAUGGGCGCAAGCCUGAUGCAGCCAUGCCGCGUGUAUGAAGAAGGCCUUCGGGUUGUAAAGUACUUUCGGUAGGGAAGCGUUACCGACAGAAGAAGCACCGGCUAACUACGUGCCAGCAGCCGCGGUAAUUC